UUGGGAAUUAUCGCCGACGUGGUAAUCCUACAGGACUAGGUUGUAGCUCCAGCAUUUGGGAAAGCAGCUAUACCUGAGACCCUUUCCUAACGCGACAAUAGGGAUCCCAUUGAACCAAGCAACUAGUCCUAAUCACAGGACCCAGUAAAAACCAGUCUAAAAGACAACGAAUCUCCACAUAAAGAACCGAAUUACCUAACGGGGACCAAGGAGCACCCCCAAAAAGAAAGGGGGUACCAGCGGGGUUGGCUUCUGUAAACCUAGUAAAAUGCAGCCCAAAACACCGGAAACACAAGGAAAACCAAUCAAACCAAAGAAAUGUACAAACUAGAAAACAGAUUUCGAGGUAUCCCAGAAGAGCAGAAUACAUAAAUACAGGCGAAGACGUGCCCGUCUAGUUAAAGUAACUGAUCCCCUCCCUCUGUCAAUUUGGGAGCAAUACGGUAAGUAUGUCCAGAGAUAAAUUUUCUGUUUACUAAUGCGAUGGAAGCGUGCCAGUCCUAUGGCGC
rnacentral:rRNA from 1 species